CAUGAUAAUGCCACAUAUACCUUACGUGAGUUAGAUGGAGCUAUCAUUAGAAUUCCAAUAGCAGGGAAGAGGGUGAAGGCUUUCAAAAGAAGAGAUGGGCGGUUUCAAAUAGAAGAUCUUCAAGAAUUCUUACCUCAAUAUUUGGACCAAGAACAUUAAGAAGAAGACUCUAUGAGUGAUUCCAAGAAGUCUCAAGAGGAUGAAGAAGAGUAGUAUGUGGCACAUACCGGAGGAUGUGCAGGUUUAGAGGGGGUGGAUGUUGUAUUGUAAUUACUUACAGUAUGU
rnacentral:lncRNA from 1 species